UAUUGUUUGAAGUGCUUUACCCACCCUCUUCACUGAUUUGGUCCACUACAGGCCGUCUGCUGUAUCUCCUCAUUACCUCCCAGAACUCCUUUGGUGGAUACAAUGCUGCUAUUCCUUUCAUUUCUCCUGUGCCUGUCUCCUUGUCUCCUGACGAAGGAGACAGGAAGAUGCCAAGGCAAAACUGUGUGAGCUAAAGACCUGGCACAAUGAAAGCUGCACAACAGACGACGAUUGUGAUGAGCCACACACCGUGUGCUACAAACACCUGUGUCGGUGUCACCCUGGCUACUUCUACACAACACAUGAUACGUUACUAGCACAUGCAGCAGAGGCGAGUUGCAGAACAACUUCACAGAGUAUCCUGACAGCGCUCUACGUGGACACCACCUAGCUAGCGGAUGGAGUCAGUCUGAAAGACUGCAAGGACAGGUGCCCAGGCUGACAAGCGUUGCCUUCACCUUUGAUUUUAGAGGUUUGUAUGGGGUAAAAUCCUUCAAGCAUUGGUAUACUAACAAGAUUCUUAGAGAUGGCAGGUGACUGUGUACUCUAGAACUGCUAAAGUCUGCUUCACGUGUCCUGCAUUGUGUCCUAUUAAUAGCAUGCUUUCUCAAGAAAAUGCAAGACAAACAGUAAAGAAUUACAAAUAUACAACUACUUACGCACCUUUUGCUGAAAACGUUUAAGUAAUAGAAUAACCUUUCGGGAAAUGUUUCAGAUAACUUGCUUUCAGUCUUAGUUCAAAAUGUUU